UUUAUGGAGAGUUUGAUCCUGGCUCAGGACGAACGCUGGCGGCGUGCUUAACACAUGCAAGUCGAACGGUGAUGUCAGAGCUUGCUCUGGCGGAUCAGUGGCGAACGGGUGAGUAACACGUGAGUAACCUGCCCCCGACUCUGGGAUAACUGCUAGAAAUGGUAGCUAAUACCGGAUAUGAUGAUUGGCCGCAUGGUCUGGUCGUGGAAAGAAUUUCGGUUGGGGAUGGACUCGCGGCCUAUCAGGUUGUUGGUGAGGUAAUGGCUCACCAAGCCUACGACGGGUAGCCGGCCUGAGAGGGUGACCGGCCACACUGGGACUGAGACACGGCCCAGACUCCUACGGGAGGCAGCAGUGGGGAAUAUUGCACAAUGGGCGCAAGCCUGAUGCAGCAACGCCGCGUGAGGGAUGACGGCCUUCGGGUUGUAAACCUCUUUUAGUAGGGAAGAAGCGAAAGUGACGGUACCUGCAGAAAAAGCACCGGCUAACUACGUGCCAGCAGCCGCGGUAAUACGUAGGGUGCAAGCGUUGUCCGGAAUUAUUGGGCGUAAAGAGCUCGUAGGCGGUUUGUCGCGUCUGCUGUGAAAUCCCGAGGCUCAACCUCGGGUCUGCAGUGGGUACGGGCAGACUAGAGUGCGGUAGGGGAGAUUGGAAUUCCUGGUGUAGCGGUGGAA
rnacentral:rRNA from 1 species